GACGAACGCUGGCGGCGUGCUUAACACAUGCAAGUGGAUCGACGAACCAGGCUUCGGCCUGGGGCAGAGACGCGAACGGGUGAGUAACACGUGGGUAAUCUGCCUCGAUGAUCGGGACAACCCGGGGAAACCCGGGCUAAUACCGAAUGUGCCCCCUCACAUCAGUGAGGUGUGUAAAGGAAGCUUCGGCCUCCGCAUCGAGAUGAGCCCGCGGCCCAUUAGCUUGUUGGUGAGGUAACGGCUCACCAAGGCCGCGGUGGGUAGCUGGUCUGGGAGGCGGAUCAGCCACACUGGGGCUGAGACACGGCCGAGACUCCUGCGGGAGGCAGCAGUGGGGAAUCUUGCGCAAGGCGCGAAAGCGUGACUCAGCAACGCCGCGUGAGGGAGGACGGCCUUCGGGUUGUAAACCUCUUUCAGUUGGGACGAAGGUCGGGCGGUGAAUAGCCGUUCCGACUGACGGUACUUUCAGAAGAAGCCCCGGCUAACUACGUGCCAGCCGCCGCAGUAACAC
rnacentral:rRNA from 1 species